rnacentral:rRNA from 1 species
AGUCAAAGCCCGUUAAUGGGUGAUGGCGUGCCUUUUGUAGAAUGAACCGGCGAGUUACGAUUGCAUGCGAGGUUAAGUUGAAGAGACGGAGCCGCAGCGAAAGCGAGUCUGAAUAGGGCGUUUGAGUAUGUAGUCGUAGACCCGAAACCAUGUGAUCUACCCAUGUCCAGGUUGAAGGUGCGGUAAAACGCACUGGAGGACCGAACCCACGUACGUUGAAAAGUGCGGGGAUGAGGUGUGGGUAGCGGAGAAAUUCCAAACGAACUUGGAGAUAGCUGGUUCUCUCCGAAAUAGCUUUAGGGCUAGCCUCGGAAUUGAGAAUGAUGGAGGUAGAGCACUGUUUGGACUAGGGGCCCAUCUCGGGUUACCGAAUUCAGAUAAACUCCGAAUGCCAUUCAUUCAUAUCCGGGAGUCAGACUGUGAGUGAUAAGAUCCAUAGUCGAAAGGGAAACAGCCCAGACCACCAGCUAAGGUCCCAAAAUAUAUGUUAAGUGGAAAAGGAUGUGGGGUUGCACAGACAACUAGGAUGUUGGCUUAGAAGCAGCCACCAUUUAAAGAGUGCGUAAUAGCUCACUAGUCGAGUGACCCUGCGCCGAAAAUGUACCGGGGCUAAACAUAUUACCGAAGCUGUGGAGUACACCUUUAGGUGUAUUGGUAGGAGA